GUGACAGGCAACAUCAAUGGCGUAAACGCAGAGAAGAGUGAAGAGCACUUUGAAAGUUGUCUCCAGUCUCUGGAAGAGGAGAUGAUCUUUAAUGCUGGUCACCUCCUGUCUGUGGAAGAGGCUCCGUUACAAGUAAGGGAUGAAGACGAGCCACAAAGGAAACAUACCCUGAAAAAGGAGCCGGGUCGAAGGUUUCGCCAUGCGAUCUCAAUGCUCUACAUGCAGGAGUCAGGUGAGCAGCUAUUUCACCCAGGUAGUGACACCAGCAGCACAGUAGAGCUACACGACAAACCGGAAGAGCUUGGCUUCUGGGAAGAGAUAAAGGGUGACAACUGUAAAUAUUACCGGAACGUCGUCAC